rnacentral:siRNA from 1 species
GACGGGUAAAGAAAUUACAGAACG